GCAGCAGUGCGUAACAGGUCUCCGUUGGGAACCAGCGGAGGGAUCGAUGUACGAUUAUAACUCCCAACCCAUGUGAAAUUACCUCUAUGUCUGCUUGCGGGCCGAGCCGCCCCCGGCGCCCGGAGCCCCCUGCGGCCCGCGGCCCGGCAACCAAGGCGCCCGCCGGAGCCACAAACUCUCUCUGUUUUACAGUUUGCUUCUGAGUGUGCGCAAGCACGAUACAAACUGAAUCAAAAACUUUCACAACGAUCUCUUGGUUCUGGCAUCGAUGAGAACGCAGCGACAAUGCGAUAGUCAAUGUGAAUUGCAGAAUUCAGUGAAUCAUCGAAUCUUGAACGCACAUUGCGCCCGCAGAAUUCUGGCGGGCAUGCCUGUUCGAGCGUCAUUUCAACCCUCGAGCUCCCUUUCGGGGGGGCCGCUUGGCGGGACCGGCGCUAACAAGCCGCCGAAUGGAGUGGCGGCGCUCGCGGCGACCUCUGCGUAUAACAACACUCGCACCGGGACCCGGGCGCGGCCACGCCGUAAAACACCCCACCUUCCGAAUGUUGACCUCGAAUCAGGUAGAAUACCCGCUGAACUUA
rnacentral:rRNA from 1 species